GCCAGAACUUGAAACCCACCAGUUGUCUUCUCCUCUAAACCUGAAAGAACUCAGAGAAGCCAUCAAGCAAUGUAAGACUGGUAAAGCACCUGGCCUAGAUGACCUGAUGAUGGAGCAAAUCAAACACUUGGGUCCAAAGCUGAAAACUGGCUUUUGAAAUUCUACAAUCAAUGCCUGGCACACAAACAGAUUCCCAGAGCAUGGAGGAAAACUAAGAUAAUUGCCAUCUUAAAACCUGGUAAAGAUGCCUCCAAUGCCAGGAACUAUCGACCAAUCUCCCUCUUAUGUCAUCUAUAUAAAGUCUAUGAGAGGAUGCUAUUAAAUCGACUAGGACCUGUUAUCGAACCCAAGCUUAUUGCACAACAAGCAGGUUUCAGACCAGGGAAAAACUGUACAGGUCAAAUUCUUCAUCUGACUGAACAUAUCGAGGAAGGCUAUGAGAAAGGCUGCAUUACGGGAAAAGUCUUUGUGGACCUUACGGCAGCCUAUGACACGGUGCAACAUAGAAAAAUGCUGCAUAAAGUCUACCAUAUCACCCGGGACUUUGACUUUACAAAAACUGUCCAGACCCUCUUAGAAAACCGCAGCUUCUAUGUGGAGUUUCAGGGCCAGAAAAGCAGAUGGAGGAGGCAAAAGAAUGGUUUACCCCAAGGCAGCGUUCUUGCAGCGACCUUACUUAAUAUCUUCACGAACGAUCAGCCACAACCUCCACUCACAAAGAGCUUUAUAUAUGCUGAUGACCUUGGCCUUACAACACAAGCGAAAGAUUUUGAAACAGUUGAAAAGCAACUCACCAAUGCCUUGAAAGAUCUCUCCAGCUACUACAAAGAGAACCACCUGAAGCCUAACCCUGCCAAGACACAAGUGUGUGCUUUCCCCCUACGUAACCGCGAAGCCAACAGGAAACUGAAAGUUACUUGGGAAGGCCAAGAGCUCGAACACUGUUUCCAUCCUAAAUACCUUGGUGUCACCUUAGACCGAACACUAACAUCUAGGAAACACUGCAUGAACACCAAGCACAAAGUAGCUGCACGCAAUAAUAUCCUGCGGAAACUGACUGGCAGCGCAUGGGGAGCAGACCCACAAGUAGUAAGAACAUCAGCCCUGGCCUUGUCUUUCUCAACUGCAGAGUACGCCUGUCCUGUUUGGCACAAGUCUGCCCAUGCGAAGCAGGUGGACAUAGCACUGAAUGAAACAUGCAGAAUAAUCACAGGAUGCCUUAAACCUACACCUGUUGAUAAACUCUACAAGUUAGCUGGCAUUGCCCCUCCUGACGUGCGACGGGAAGUUACUGCUAACUGUGAGAGAAAAAAGGUCGAACAUUGUGAAAGCCACCCACUGCAUGGCUAUCAGCCUCCUCCCACCAGACUCAAAUCAAGGAAGGGCUUCAUGAGAACCACCACUCCUCUUGAUGUUCCUCCAGCAACAGCAAGGGUGUCCCUCUGGGCAGCUAAACCUGGCAAUUCUAACUGGAUGGCCCCCCAUGAGGGUCUUCCUCCAGGGGUAAACCAAGAAUGGGCAACUUGGAAGUCCCUGAACAGACUCAGAAGUGGAGUGGGCAGAUCAAAAGACAACUUGGCAAGGUGGCACUACCUGGAGGAAUCCUCCACCUUGUGUGACUGUGGAGCUGAACAAACAACUCAGCAUAUGUAUGCUUGCCCACAAUGCCCUGCCUCAUGUACGGAGGAGGAGUUGUUUUAAGCUACAGACAAUGCGGUUGCUGUUGCCCGCUUUUGGUCCAAAACUAUUUAGUUGCUUGUGAUUUCUUUUUUUUCCCCAUCAUUUUGAAAUGUAUUUGUUGUACAAUGCUUUUGACACGAUUUUUUUUUUAUCUCCAAGGUCAUGUGGCCGGCAUGACUGUAUGGAGCGCCGUUACCUUCCCGCCAGAGCGGUACCUAUUGAUCUACUCACAUUGGCAUGUUUUCGAACUGCUAGGUUGGCAGGAGCUGGAGCUAACAGCA
rnacentral:lncRNA from 1 species